rnacentral:rRNA from 1 species
CUCUAGUAAAAUCAUUAGAGGUAAAUUCUGCCCAGUGAAAGUAUUUAAACGGCCGCGGUAAAGCGUGCAAAGGUAGCAUAAUAAUUUGCCUUUUAAUUGAUGGCUGGGAUGAAGGAAGAAACCCUUCCAAUCUUUCUUAUAAUAAUUUCAAAACUUGGCUUUUAAGUGAAGAGACUUAAAUAUAUUUAAAAGACAAAAAGACCCUAAGAGUUUUACUUAAAUAAGUUUAGUUGGGGAAACUAAGAAAUAUAUAUAACUUUCUUGUUUACAAAAGACUGGUGUCUUAAAUAUAUAACCACAAUGAAACCAAAAAACUACCUUAGGGAUAACAGGCCCAUUUAUCUGGCGAGUUCAUAUUUAUAGAUAAGUUUGGCACCUCGAUGUUGGCUUGGAAAACAUGAUAAAUGCAGGGGUUUAAAGUGUAUAGUUUGUUCAACUAAUUAUUUUCCACGUGAUCUGAGUUC